UUUAGUAGUCCUCGCGCAGGACGACGCUGGCGGCGUGCCUAACACAUGCAAGUGAACGAGAAUCUUAUGUGUGAUCCCUUCGGGGUGAACUUUUAAGAGGAAAGUGGCGGACGGGCGAGUAACGCGUGAGUAACCUGCCCAUAAGAGGGGAUAAUCCAUGGAAACGUGGACUAAUACCGCAUAUUGAAUAUUUAUCGCAUGGUAGAUAUUUGUAAAGAUUUAUCGCUUAUGGAUGGACUCGCGUCAGAUUAGCUAGUUGGUGAGGUAAUGGCUCACCAAGGCGACGAUCUGUAGCCGAACUGAGAGGUUGAUCGGCCGCAUUGGGACUGAGACACGGCCCAGACUCCUACGGGAGGCAGCAGUGGGGAAUAUUGCGCAAUGGGGGAAACCCUGACGCAGCAACGCCGCGUGCAGGAAGAAGGUCUUCGGAUUGUAAACUGUUGUCGCAGGGGAAGAAGACAGUGACGGUACCCUGUGAGAAAGUCACGGCUAACUACGUG
rnacentral:rRNA from 1 species